GUAGAGCCAGUGUGUGGGGUAGUGUAGAGCCAGUGUGGUGGGUAGUGUAGAGCCAGUGUGGGGGGUAGUGUAGAGCCAGUGUGUGGGGGUAUGUAUAGCCAGUGUGGGGGGUAGUGUAGAGCCAGUGUAUGGGGUAGUGUCUUUCCAGUGUGGGGGGUAGUGUAGAGCCAGUGUGUGGGGUAGUGUAGAGCCAGUGUGGUGGGUAGUGUAGAGCCAGUGUGGGGGGUUGUGUAGAGCCAGUGUGUGGGGUAGUGUAGAGCCAGUGUGUGGGGGUAGUGUAGAGCCAGUAUGGGGGGUAGUGUAGAGCCAGUGUGGGGGUAGUGUAGAGCCAGUGUGGGGGGUAGUGUAGAGCCAGUGUGUGGGGUAGUGUAGAGCCAGUGUGGGGGGGUAGUGUAGAGCCAGUGUGGGGGGUAGUGUAGAGCCAGUUUGUGGGGUAGUGUAGAGCCAGUGUGGGGGGUAGUGUAGAGCCAGUGUGGGGGGUAGUGUAGAGCCAGUGUGGGGUAGUGUAGAGCCAGUGUGGGGGGUAGUGUAGAGCCAGUGUGUGGGGUAAUAUAGAGCCAGUUUGUGGGGUAGUGUAGAGCCAGUGUGUAUGGUAGUGUAGAGCCAGUGUGGGGGGUAGUGUAGAGUCAGUGUGUGGGGUAGUGUAGAGCCAGUGUGGGGUAGUGUAGAGCCAGUGUGGUGGGUAGUGUAGAGCCAGUGUGUGGGGUAGUGUAGAGCCAGUGUGGGGGUAGUGUAGAGCCAGUGUGUGGGGUAGUGUAGAGCCAGUGUGGGAGGUAGUGUAGAGCCAGUGUGGGGGGUAGUGUAGAGCCAGUGUGGGGGGUAGUGUAGAGCCAGUGUGGGGUAGUGUAGAGCCAGUGUGGGGGGUAGUGUAGCAGGUGUGUGGGGGUAGUGUAGAGCCGGUGUGUGGGGUAGUGUAGAGCCAGUGUGUGGGGUAGUGUAGAGCCAGUGUGUGGGGUAGUGUAGAGCCAUUGUGGGGGUAGUGUAGAGCCAGUGUGGGGGGUAGUGUAGAGCCAGUGUGGGGUAGUGUAGAGCCAGUGUGGGGGGUAGUGUAGAGCCAGUGUGGGGUAGUUUAGAGCCAGUGUGGGGUAAUGUAGAGCCAGUGUGUGGGGUAGUUGUAGAGCCAGUUUGUGGGGUAGUGUAGAGCCAGUGUGUAUGGUAGUGUAGAGCCAGUGUGGGGUAGUGUAGAUCCAGUGUGGGGGUAGUGUAGAGCCAGUGUGGGGUAGUGUAGAGCCAGUGUGGGGUAAUGUAGAGCCAGUGUGUGGGGUAGUGUAGAGCCAGUGUGGGGGGUAGUGUAGAGCCAGUGUGGGGGGUAGUGUAGAGCCAGUGUGGGGGGUAGUGUAGAGCCAGUGUGGGGGGUAGUGUAGAGCCAGUGUGGGGUAGUGUAGAGCCAGUGUGGGGGGUAGUGUAGAGCCAGUGUGUGGGGUAGUAUAGAGCCAGUUUGUGGGGUAGUGUAGAGCCAGUGUGUAUGGUAGUGUAGAGCCAGUGUGGGGUAGUGUAGAGCCAGUGUGGGGGGUAGUGUAGAGCCAGUGUGGGGUAGUGUAGAGCCAGUGUGGGGUAGUGUAGAGCCAGUGUGGGGGGUAGUGUAGAGCCAGUGUGGGGUAGUGUAGAGCCAGUGUGGGGGGUAG
rnacentral:lncRNA from 1 species